rnacentral:rRNA from 1 species
UACGUAGGGACCGAGCGUUGUCCGGAAUCAUUGGGCGUAAAGAGCGUGUAGGCGGCCAACUAAGUCCUGCGUGAAAUCUCGGGGCUCAACCCCGAGCGGUCGUGGGAAACUGGUUGGCUAGAGUGCGGGAGAGGAGAGUGGAAUUCCUGGUGUAGCGGUGAAAUGCGCAGAUAUCAGGAAGAACACCCGUGGCAAAGGCGGCUCUCUGGAACGCAACUGACGCUGAGACGCGAAAGCGUGGGGAGCAAACAGG